rnacentral:rRNA from 1 species
GACGAACGCUGGCGGCGUGCUUAACACAUGCAAGUCGAACGGUAAGGCUCCAGCUUGCUGGGGUGCACGAGUGGCGAACGGGUGAGUAACACGUGGGUGACCUGCCCUGCACUUCGGGAUAAGCCCAGGAAACUGGGGCUAAUACCGGAUAGGACCAUGGUGUGGAUACUGGGGUGGAAAGUUUUUUCGGUGUGGGAUGGGCCCGCGGCCUAUCAGCUUGUUGGUGGGGUAAUGGCCUACCAAGGCGGCGACGGGUAGCCGGCCUGAGAGGGUGGACGGCCACAUUGGGACUGAGACACGGCCCAGACUCCUACGGGAGGCAGCAGUGGGGAAUAUUGCACAAUGGGCGGAAGCCUGAUGCAGCGACGCCGCGUGGGGGAUGACGGCCUUCGGGUUGUAAACUCCUUUCACCAUCGACGAAGGGUUUCUGACGGUAGAUGGAGAAGAAGCACCGGCUAACUACGUG